UACGUAGGGUGCAAGCGUUAAUCGGAAUUACUGGGCGUAAAGCGUGCGCAGGCGGCUUUGCAAGACAGAUGUGAAAUCCCCGGGCUUAACCUGGGAACUGCAUUUGUGACUGCAUGGCUGGAGUGCGGCAGAGGGGGAUGGAAUUCCGCGUGUAGCAGUGAAAUGCGUAGAUAUGCGGAGGAACACCGAUGGCGAAGGCAAUCCCCUGGGCCUGCACUGACGCUCAUGCACGAAAGCGUGGGGAGCAAAC
rnacentral:rRNA from 1 species